CACUCUGUAAACGCUGGGAACUAGCUGUGGGGUCCAUUCCAAGGAUUCCGUGACGCAGCUAACGCAUUUAUUUCCCCGCGUGGGGAGUACGGCCGCAAGGCUAACCUCAAAGGAAUUGACGGGCACCCGCACAAGCGGCGGAGCACGCGGAUUAUUUCGAUGCAACGCGAACAACCUUUCCAAGGCUUGACAUAUCCGAGAACGGGCCAGAAAUGGUCAACUCUUUGGACACUCGUAAACAUGGUGGUGCAUGGUUGUAGUUCAGCUCGUGUCCGUGAGAUGUUGGGUUAAGUCCCGCAACGAGCGCAACCCUCGUUCUAUGUUGCCAGCACGUAAUGGUGGGAACUCAUGGGAUACUGCCGGGGUCAACUCGGAGGAAGGUGGGGAUGACGUCAAAUCAUCAUGCCCCCUAUGUCUUGGGCUUCACGCAUGCUACAAUGGCCGGUACAAAGGGCUGCAAUUCCGCGAGGUGGAGCGAAUCCCAAAAAGCCGGUCCCAGUUCGGAUUGAGGUCUGCAACUCGACCUCAUGAAGUCGGAGUCGCUAGUAAUCGCAGAUCAGCAACGCUGCGGUGAAUACGUUCCGCGGGUCUUGUACACACCGCCCGUCAAGUCAUGAAAGUCGGUAACACCUGAAGCCGGUGGCCUAACC
rnacentral:rRNA from 1 species